UUACGGCCACAUCACGUUGAAGCACCGGUUACCGUACCCUCACCAAAGUUAAGCAACGUUGACCUUGUCAGUACUUCGAUGGGUGACCAUUUGGAAAUACCAGGUGCUGUAC